GAUGAACGCUAGCGGCAGGCUUAACACAUGCAAGUCGAGGGGCAGCACGGUAGCAAUACUGGUGGCGACCGGCAAACGGGUGCGGAACACGUACGCAAUUUACCCUUAUCUGGGGGAUAGCCCGGAGAAAGCCGGAUUAAUACCCCAUAAUAUAUAUGGAUGGCAUCAUCUGCAUAUUAAAGCUCAGGCGGAUAAGGAUGAGCGUGCGUCCCAUUAGCUAGUUGGUAGGGUAAAGGCCUACCAUGGCGACGAUGGGUAGCUGGUGUGAGAGCACGACCAGCCACACGGGCACUGAGACACGGGCCCGACUCCUACGGGAGGCAGCAGUGAGGAAUAUUGGUCAAUGGACGCAAGUCUGAACCAGCCAUGCCGCGUGGAGGAUGAAGGCCUUCUGGGUUGUAAACUUCUUUUAUCGGGGAAGAAAAUUAUGGUUUCUACUAUAACCGACGGUACCCGAGGAAUCAGCACCGGCUAACUCCGUGCCAGCAGCCGCCGUAACAC
rnacentral:rRNA from 1 species